ensembl:lncRNA LINC03057 long intergenic non-protein coding RNA 3057
UCCGGCCAUCUGGGCGCUGCUCCUCCGCGCCUCUGGCCUCCCCGCGGCGCGCCAGGCCCAUCUCCUCACCAGCCGCUCUGGGAUCCGACGGCGCCGUGGGUGGGGGCAGGUGAGACGGCCGAGCCCCGCCCGGGCGGAGGCAGGAAGCGCUCUCGCCUAUCCCCCUCCCGGACCCUGUCCUCGCCCGCCACUCACCGGCGCCAGGGGAACGCAGGAGCGUGAGCCCCUUCGCGCCCCCAGCGCCGUCGGCGUCGCUGCCCCAGACACAGACACUGCCUCGAGAGGCCUCACAGAGGCGGGGGCAGAAGGCGGCGACCCAGAGCCGCCACAUCCCCCGCCUUGGGCGCCGUCACAGUCCCCAGACGCCCUGGACUCCUGCAGUCUACGAAGACGCGCGGGGGACGGCGUGGUUCCGAGAGAGGGCGCCAAAGGCGACGUGCCGGCCGCCAGCUCCAGGCCGAGCCCCGAGCGCCUGCAGGAACACGCCCCUUCACCCGGCGCGGGACGCAGAGCUGCGAGAGAAUCUUGUUCAGCGCGGACUCAACGCCAGGGCGCCGCCUAGAGGUUGGUCUCUGUCUCGGCCUCACCCGCCGGGAGACCACAGAGCUGCUUCCCCAGCCGCCCGCCGCCAGAAAUUGGAAAAAAAAAAAAAAAAAAAAAAAAAAUCCAGCUGGGGUCUAGGAACUCGGCUUCUGGCACCUCUGAAUUCUCCGAGACUGUCUCCUCCCUCCCCGCCUGUAAUGAACCCUGUGAAGGGAGACAGGCCAGGAAGUCCCAGAAAUAUUUAUUCUUGUGACUCUCACAAAAUGGAAAAGGGUCUCAAUUUUUGUUUCUUUAAGGAACUUGUGUUCUGCGUCUGUGUCUACACUGCCUCCUCUCACCAACCAAAUUGUCUAGCCCCCCUCCAGUUACGCUAGAACUCUGCUUUAUCUUCAAGGAAGAAAGGGAGUGGGGAGAAGUUACCUCUAAACCCUCCAGCAUGGCCAUCAAUUUUCUGAAUAAUUUGGAGGUCAACAUGCUUUUGGAAAAGUGUUUGGAAAACGUUUGGGGGUGAAAAGAAAUGUUGCCUAACUGGCCUUUACUCACGGAGUGACCAUCAUCUCAGCUAGUUAGUGUAUGAGCGGCACCAGCACCCCGGCCAUGGGUGUCUGUGCUGAGCCUCUGAAAGUUGACUUAUCCUUUGGGGAGCCCUCGGAAAGACACAGCUGGUAUCUAUGGGAAUGGCUUUGGGGUGUCCUUUGGCACCAUACAGAUAAUUUUGUUUUUUUAA